AUGGCAACAAGAGAUGCUGCUGCCGCGGCUCCACUCGAGCAUCAUUACUGCACACCCGAAUCAAUCCCCGCUGCCCUGCGUCAUGUCUCAGUGAGGUGCGGUGAGAAGCUGCCUGCUGGUGUGUGUGUGUGUGUGUGUGCUGUACCUGUCCGGAGGCUGACGGAUCUCCUGCUGUGGCGGAGGUACAGCGCUCUCCGGACGGCUCUGCGCUCGGCUUCAUCCUCCAGAGAGGCCGCCAUCGACCUCCAUCAGCGGCCGCGGCUUCACCGGGACGGGCACAGCAGAUUGAACUGCUCCGCGGUAGAGAAGAAGUGUUCGUGGAGCUGCGCGUGCCAGCAGGGGGCGCUCGAGGCCUCACAGACACCAGCAGAGAAACAUUUGAUAAUGCUGUAAUAUAUGAUCAUCUGUUCACUCCGAGGGCUGGUGUCUGACGCACGAAUAGAAAUACAUUCCAUCAGUUUUCAGGUUGAUGUAUUAAAAAAAAAAACAUUAAAAAAAAACAUAAAUCUGCGCUUGUGACCGUGUGAUUGGUCCAUUCCGACCAGCGCUGAGAAAAGCAGCUGAUGUCACGUGACAGGUAAAAAAAACCCAGAUAACACAUUUAGGUUAUAGAUUAUAGAACAUUGCGAGAAUAUUGUUUUCAAAUGUUUCUAAAACGUUGAAUUGUCCAUGUAAUUGAAAGGUUACAAAAAGUUUCUUACAAAACGUUUUACUAACUUCAAUGCAAAUAUAACACUAUUUGAACGUUUAUAUAUAUAUAUAUAUAAAUAUAUAUAUGUAUAUACACUGAAACAAAAUUAAUAAACACAACUACUUUAUUAUAUAUAUAUAUAUAAAUAUAUAUAUGUAUAUACACUGAACAAAAUUAUAAACACAACACUUUUGUUUUUGUCCCCCAUUUUUCAUGAGCUGAACUCAACGAUCUAAGACACAAAAGGCCUAUUUCUCUCAAAUAUUGUUCACAAAUCUGUCUAAAUCUGUGUUAGUGAGCCGAGAUAAUCCAUCCACCUCACAGGUGUGGCAUAUCAGGAUGCUGAUUAGACAGCUCGAUUAUUGCACAGGUGUGCCUUAGGCUGGCCACAAUAAAAGGCCACUCUAAAAUGAGCAGUUUUAUCACACAGCACAAUGCCACAGAUGUUGAAGUUUUGAGGGAGCGUGCAAUUGUCAUGCUGACUGCAGGAAUGUCCACCAGAGCUGUUGCCCGUGAAUUGAAUGUUCAUUUCUCUACCAUAAGCCGUCUCCAAAGGUGUUUCAGAGAAUUUAGCAGUACAUCCAACACCAGCCCAGGACCUCCACAUCCAGCAUCUUCACCUCCAAGAUCGUCUGAGACCAGACACCCGGACAGCUGCUGCAACAAUCGGUUUGCAUCACCAAAGAAUUUCUGCACAAACUGUCAGAAACCGUCUCAGGGAAGCUCAUCUGCAUGCUUGUCGUACUCAGCGGGGUCUCGAUCUGACUGCAGUUCAUCAUCAUAACUGACUUGAGUGGGCAAAUGCUCACAUUCGAUGGCGUCUGGCACUUUGAUGAGGUGUUCUCUUCACGGAUGAAUCCUGGUUUUCACUGUACAGGGCAGAUGGCAGACAGUGUGUAUGGUGUUGUGUGGGUGAGCGGUUUGCUGAUGUCAGGGUUGUGGAUCGAGUGGCCCAUGGUGGCGGUGGGGUUAUGGUAUGGGCAGGUGUAUGUUAUGGACAACAAACACAGGUGCAUUUUAUUGAUGGCCUUUUGAAUGCACAGAGAUACCGUGAUAUAUAUAUAUAUAUAUAUAUAUAUAUAGUGUGUGUAUAUAGAAGUAAGUAAGUUUAAGUUACGUACGUUAACGUUUUACGUUUCGUUCGUUAGUUUAAGUUUAAAGUAUAUAUAUAUAGUGUGUGUAUAUGAAGAAUGUUAAAUUGCCAAGUUUUCUGCUGUAUAGUUAUUUAAAGUUAGACAAAUGUUUUUAGAAUGUUCAAGUACAUCAUAAGGAGGACCUUGUAGAUCUCAGAAUGUUUUCUCUCAACUUUAUGAUAUCAAAUAUUAAUACAGUUAUUAUAAGAAUGAUUUGUCCUAACAUUUAUAUACUGUAGAUGUUGGCACAAGUUGCACAAUCAGUGAUAGACAUAAAUAAAAAGGACACAGAUACUGGAAAUAAUAAUUUCAGAAGAACCCAAAAUAAAUCAGAUAUAACAUUUUAUUUGUCAGAUCAAAUGGAUCGUGUCAGUAAACCAUAAGAAGCCAAUGCCUCAGAGAACAGAGAACAUUCACAGAAUAUUAUCUUAGGUUCUGUCAAAGUUAUGAACAGUCAUUCUUCCAUUAAUGUAAUAAAACAUUUACUCAAAGUUAUCUAGUCUUUAAUAAUGUUAUCAACAAGUUAGCUCGGAAACAUUAUUCAGAUUAUUCAAUAUUCUGCGAUAUAUAUAUAUUUCAUUUUAGUUCAUCUAAAGUUUUGUACAUGUUUCAGAACAUUCACAGAAUGACAUUCCCAUAAUGUUUGAAAAAUGACAAAAUUGAAUAUUCCCUUAAUAUUCCUAUAAUCAAGGGGCAAGAAGACACUUUGGACACUUUUGCUAGUAUAGACUGCAGUCUCAUCAUCUGCCACUAGAGGGAGCACAGACAACAUCUCCAUAGAAACAGACUCGCUUUGCGACACUUCUACAUCCUUUGCGACGUGUUUAUGUAGUUUACGGCAAGUGCUUCGCCUGGAGAGAGUGUUUUGAUCGUGACGCUCGUCAGUGUGAGUUAUUAAAGGUAUGAAAGGUAUUUAUCGUGUAUUCCUGUAGGACUGAAUAUCUGUGCUGGGUCAGACUCAUCAGUCGAGCAGCUCUGUGAUGUCAUUGCUCUGUUGUGCUGUGUUUUCAUCAUUACUGAGUGCCUCCAGCCGGACUGUAGUUCUGUGUGCUCUAACAGUAUUAGCAUUUGAUUUUAUAUUGUGUUCAGUGUUAGAUGUUCAUCUUAGUUAUUAAGAAUAAUGAAUAAAAUGAAUCAAUUCAUGUUCACUGGUGUUUUCAUUUAUAAAAGGCAGAAUAUUUUUUUCUAGAGCAAACAUCUGUCGCUCCCUGCUGGAUAUCUAGACAGUUAUCGUGUGAUUCACUCAAACGCUCUUCUGUGAACAGUUGAUUGUUUGAGGGAUUGACUUACUAAUGGACAGAACUCAGAUUCAUUUUAUAUAAAAGAAAAAUAUUUUAUCUUUUAUUUAACUCACAGGAGAUUGAGCGAUUUAAUGAUAAGUUUGACAGCAUAAACACUCCUCUCAUUAUGAAAUAUUCAAAUAAUGUAGCCAUUGACUUGCAUAGUAUUUUUUCAUACUGAGGCAGUCAGUGGCUACUAUAGCAGCUUUCUGGUUACAUUCUUCAGAAUCUUUUGUGCCCAACAGAAGAAACUCACGUGGCUUGGAGAGGAUGAGAAUGAUGAUAGAAUUGUAUUUUUAGGUGAACUGAAACUGAUCUCUUAAAGGAAAGUUAAGACAGGAUAGCAAAAGCUGAUAUGUUGAUGUAUUGAUAGAUUUCCAAUUAUGUUAAUUGGCAUGCAGAUCAAUCAGGUUUAUUGAAGCAUCGGGCUUAGAUAUAAAAACAUACAAACAUGAAUAAACAUAGUAAAACAUGAAGAGGAAACCCUUUAAGAAAUGCAAUAAUACAUCAAAUAAAAUACUUAAUGCAACUGAAUAUCGAUAAGCUGUACAGAUAUCACUAUUUUUAGCUUGACAAAACAUACUUUAAUGAAUACAAUAUUGUUUUACUAAUAAUAACUAACAUUCUUUGGCUUAACUUUAAAUAAGAGUUUGUACUGUAUAAGAUGCAAACAACAUCGUCCAUGUUUUACUUUUCUCUCUGAAGUAUAUUGGUUCAAACUUAUGCCCCAAACAAAAGAACAAAAUAAAAACAACAAACUCUACACUACUAAACUAUUAACCUUGGACAAACUUAAAAACGGAAGAUAUAUAUAUAUAGGCACACACGCACACACAACAAACAUUAUAAAGAAACAAAUAUUUCAUAAGUCGAUCACACAAUGAUUCUCAUUCUCUCGCGAAGAAUCAAAGAAAAUGUGGAUUUUGAACAUAUAGUGGGUGUGUCUGAACAGAUGAGGAAAUUUUCCACAGAUAUACAAUAAUCCAACAAUCACUCAUUAAACAGCUGAACGCUUACACACGUGUGUAUUUUAUUCACAUAUCUUUAUUAAGUUCAAGUUCAUUUUAUUUAUAUAGCACAUUUUAUAGCAGCCACUGACUGACCAAAGUGCUUUACAGAACUACAAGAUUAAAACAAUAAUACCAUGCAGAACUACACAGACUUAAAAUAGAAAAUAAGAAAACAGAAAUGGCAGUAUCAGCACAGCAUCAGACUCAAUAAAGAAAUAGUAAAACUGACCAACCUUAAUUAUUGGCCAAGGAAAACAGGUACGUUUUUAAAAGUGACUUAAAAGAAAUCACGGAAGGGGCUAUCUUAACUUCUAGGGGCAAAUUAUUCCACAGACGAGGCCCAACCACAGCGAAUGCUCGAUCCCCUCUGCGUUUGCGUCUGGAAUGUGGGACUAAUAGCACGUCUUGUCGCUUGAUCUCAGACUUCUUAAUGGAGUAUAUGGUUGUAGCAAUUCAGAUACACUGUAAAACCUGACAAGUCACAGUAACUCAAACCGUUUGAGUAAACAGAUUGCCUUUACUUAAACCAUGUAAGUUUUAAAACUUUGCAAUUAUGUAAUCAAGUGAUUAAUUAAGUGCUGAUUGAGCUUUAGUGAUGAACAGC
rnacentral:lncRNA from 1 species